AAAGGGAAGAAGAGCAGAUCACUGCAGAAGGAUCAUGCAGUGUCCUGAAUAAAUGUACAGAUCUCACAGGCUUACCCCUGACCAGGGACUCCUGAGCAGCACAGGAAAUCAUUCCGUGGCUGAACACUGCCAAUCCAGCUCCUAGCAGCUCUUACAGAAUAUUUGAUGGAGAACAAUUUCCUGUGCCAGCAUGGACUCUUGCUUGACUUGGCCUGUGUUUUUGGCAUAAGUUCCAAGCCUUGACAACUUCCUCGGUGUCACUAAUCAUUUGGGACAAGUACUGGCUCUACCUUGGAUCUUUCAGUCCCUGAACAACUUUUGUGUACUCAUGCAAAUAUAUAUUUUUUUUUUCUGGGGAAUGACAUCCUGGAACUU
rnacentral:lncRNA from 1 species